GAGCUGGGCUUUUGGCUCAGUGGUAGAGCUCUUGCCUAGCAUGUAUGAGGCACUGGAUUAAAUUCUCAUCACCACAUAUAAAUAAAUUAAUAAAAUAAAGGUUCAUCAACACCUUUAAAAAGUAUUUAAAUAAAAAAAAGAAUAUGGAACCAAAAUUUUUAAAGAUCUCAAACCAGUUGAAGUUUUAAUAAACUAUGAAUCCAAGCAAAGUCAAAGAAGGAUGAAAAAAGGUAUAAAAAUAAAACAAAAUCCAAAUAUUUCAGUAGUCACAGUGAGUCUAAAAUUUCCUUUAAAAAAAAAAAAAAAACAUUUAAAAAAUUAGAUUGGAUGAGAAAAAAUGGGACCUGUUUGCUAGUUUGAGAAACAUGCAUCUAAAAUGGUAUAUUUAAACUAACUCUCUGGACAUUUUAAUACCUGUAUUUAAAAAAAUGCAUCAAGGAGAUACAGAAUUUGUAAAGACAGAACCUAUAUACAAAAUAGACAACAUAUCUAUAUGAUUUACAUAUAUUUCUUUACAGGUACAUAUAUACAUUUUUUUUAUGAAUGUUGUAUGUCAGCAUCUGCACAUUUCAAAGAAUUGGUUUAUAUACAGAUGAUGUUUUCUAACUGAAGUAUCAAUAAAUUUUAAAAACAGAAAAAAUACCCCUCCCCACCAGAUUCAAGAAUAAGCUAAUUAAAUAAAGCAAACUAUGGAGAAUGUCAGCAAAAGCAAAGUUGCCUCUUUGGAUAAACUAAACAAAGAUUGAGGAAGAAAAGGAAAAAUAUUAAUCGUUGUUAUAACAUCAGGAACUGUGCUUUAAAAAUGUAUAAAAUAGUAAGAAAACAACAGUGAUGGAAUCACCCAAAGGAUAAUGCAGUAGUAAGUAAGUCACUAUUGCAUCAUCCUGUGCUCUUCUUACUGCAUUCCUCCAAGUACUUCAUUAUGUUUCAGGAAGAUACAAAAGCAGUCUAGAGAUACAAUCUGUAAGCUUUCCUCAGACAAUUGGAAAUACAGCAUUUUUUUUUUUUUUCCUUCUUGGUACCAGGGAUUGAAUUCAGGGGCACUUGACCACCGAGCCGCAUACCCAGCCCCAUUUUGUAUUUUAGGUAGAGACAGGGUCUAACCGAGUUGCUUAGAGCCUCCCUUUUGCUUAGGCCGGCUUAGAACUCGCCAUCCUCCUGCCUCAGCCUUCCGAGCCUCUGGGAUUACAAGUGUGCGCCACCGUGCACAAACUGGGAGUACAGCAUUUUUAAUCCUUAAUAAUCAAGAAAAAUAACAUGCUUUAUGAUUAUUAGACAAAUAUGCCCUAUGGUUUCUAAAAACGAUGGUAAAGUAGAGCUUAUAAGCAAAAUUUCAGAGUAUAAAAUUUUCAGACAGUAUCUUAGAAAAAUUUUCUCAAGCUUAAUCUGUAUGAUAGAUUGCUAAGAAUAAAAAUAUUGUAUUGUCCAUCAUAAUUGAUAGGAUUUGGAAGUAGAC
rnacentral:lncRNA from 1 species